AAUAUAUUAAAAUAUCAAUAAAUAAAAUAUUAAUAAAACGAAAAAAGAUUAGCAUGGCCCCUUGCGCAAGGAUGACACGCAAAAUCGUGAAGCGUUCCACAUUUUU
rnacentral:snRNA from 1 species